CAAACAGUAUUUUUUUUUGGAAGAUCAUGCUAAUCUCUGGAGGUCCUUCAAGUCUAAAAGGAAACGGGCAAUUAGUCAACCAUGCUAAAUCCUAAGAAAAGCACUGGGACAUCUCCACUAUAAGCUAAUGUGAGGGAGUGCUCUGCAAGAAGCUUCUACAGAGUGGGACAGCAGAGGGACCUCUCAGUGAGGCACAAGAGGCUCACAUUCAGCUACUACCACAGCCCACAGUCUAUGUGGCAAGGCUGCCCUUUGCUCAGAAUGGCUUCUAAAUUCCAACCUCUUGCUCUGCCCCACACCUCAUUUCCAUGACCUGUGCUGACACAGACUUCACCCAGAGAGAUGGGUCAACACUGGCCCCAACAAAGGUGCACAGAGCAGCAAGAGAGGUAGGACAUCUCUUGGCAAGGCCCUUUGCCUCUGGGCCCUUGUUGGGCCCGUUUCUGAUGUAGGACAAGGGGCGAUGUCAUGUGUGUUUCUUCCAAUAAAGUGGAUCAGCUGUGGUGGGACAUAUCCCACCACAUAUUCCACAUAUAGUUAAAAACCCUCUUACCUUUUGAAUGGUUUUAUUUGUUUACCUAAUUAAGUUUAUGUAUGUGAACUAUUCUUUACUUGGAUAAUUGUUAACUUCUCUUUGCUCCACAGGUUUACUGCCCUUUUUUCCUAUUCAGAUGAUCAUUUACAUUUAUGUUAUGAGUUUAAACAAAAGUAAUUGUUCUACCUGGUAUUUAGGCUGCGUCUUUCCUAGAUGUGUAGAAGUGCAUUGCAUGCCUAGAAGCUUAUCUGU